rnacentral:misc_RNA from 1 species
GGCUCAGUUCAAGAAGGGAAAAAAUCUUGGGAAGAAUUUACACAAGUACAAGGAUUGAAAACUAAAAUCUUAAAUCAAGUAAGAAGCCUUUCUGCAGAGGCAGGUGGAAAAGGAUCCAAAAAGAAAGAUCUUAGUAACCAGCGGAACUUAUUUAAGGAUUUCUUGAAGUUUCUUGAGUAUGGUUAUUGCCCUGAAACCUCAAUGAAGAUUGGAGGAAAUUCACUGCAGACAUCUACAUGGUCUCAACUGAUCCAGUUGAACUUUUUAAAGCACUUUCUUGGCAGUGGGUUCAUUAAGCACAUGCAGGAUAAUGACCUCCUCCAUGAUAUCUUUGGGUUCAUGCCUGAGAAGAAAUAUCUUCAAGGCGUCGAACGUAAGAUGUCUAAUAGUGAAAAGAGGAUGUACAAGUCCCCAAAUUCAGUCCUCAACAAAGCCAGGAC